rnacentral:rRNA from 1 species
UACGUAGGGAGCGAGCGUUGUCCGGAAUUACUGGGUGUAAAGGGAGCGUAGGCGGGACUGCAAGUUGGGUGUCAAAUCUACCGGCUCAACCGGUAGCCGCACUCAAAACUGCAGUUCUUGAGUGAAGUAGAGGCAGGCGGAAUUCCUAGUGUAGCGGUGAAAUGCGUAGAUAUUAGGAGGAACACCAGUGGCGAAGGCGGCCUGCUGGGCUUUUACUGACGCUGAGGCCCGAAAGUGUGGGGAGCAAACAGG